UAGGGAAUCUUCGGCAAUGGACGAAAGUCUGACCGAGCAACGCCGCGUGAGUGAAGAAGGUUUUCGGAUCGUAAAACUCUGUUGUUAGAGAAGAACAAGGACGUUAGUAACUGAACGUCCCCUGACGGUAUCUAACCAGAAAGCCACGGCUAACUACGUGCCAGCAGCCGCGGUAAUACGUAGGUGGCAAGCGUUGUCCGGAUUUAUUGGGCGUAAAGCGAGCGCAGGCGGUUUCUUAAGUCUGAUGUGAAAGCCCCCGGCUCAACCGGGGAGGGUCAUUGGAAACUGGGAGGCUUGGGUGCGGAAGGAGAGGGUGGAAUUCCAUGUGUAGCGGUGAAAUGCGUAGAUAUAUGGAGGAACACCAGUGGCGAAGGCGGCUCUCUGGUCUGUAACUGACGCUGAGGCUCGAAAGCGUGGGGAGCAAACAGG
rnacentral:rRNA from 1 species